rnacentral:lncRNA from 1 species
UCAAUUUUAAAACCAGUCUCCUCAACGACUUUUCAGAAGUUUCUCCCACAGAUGGUAUCAAUGAACAGAUGAUUAGCUGCACAAGCCAUCCAUUCUCCACAGACAGUGGAACACUUCGCAUUCAUAGGUAUCACCAUUCAUCACCUGAGACAACAUUUUUUCGCAUCAUGCUUUUCGUGUAGAACAACGAGAAUGUUCAGUUCAUCAGCAUAACACGACGGUCCAAAUCAAAGCCCUACUCUUUCACAAGCAAGCGACUGCAACAUACCAAGCGACUACGACAUACCACUGAAAUCAUGAAUUUCCGUCCUACCCCCAACUUCAGUCACAAAGGAACUGACUAAACGAUGCUUUUCUCAUCCGAAGAGACGAAUUUGAACACGACCCAUCACCGUAAAAUCCACUCCCAUUCGACUAACGCAAUAGCUGUCGCACUAGCAUCGCUCGCGAGCUCUAAAGCAAGGUUCAUUAGAUAAAAAUUGACUCCAACUGCUUAAUAGUGCCUAAAAACCAUCCAUUUCGAAGUUAUCUCGCGCCAUUUUCUUUUGGGGUACGAGCUACCCAAAAGAGAAGCGGUAAAAGUCGAAACGAAAGGAAUUGGCAGGAACGGGCGAAGGCGGAGCAAGAAAGAGAUGGAGUGUCCUCACACAGAAGCCGGUCUUGAUCAUGAACAACUCCAUGGAGCCUCCGACGAGGGCCGAGAAGACCCCGAUCUUCACGUACCAAUCAAGAAACUUCACCGCCAUAUCGAAAGCUGCCGCUCAAGCUUUCCGCGGCAGCGGCUGGAAGACGGGAAAACGAAAGAAGGGUCUGUAAGAAAGAGGAGAAGGAAUAGGUAACUUCACGUGGAGAGAGGAGAUCCAACGAGGCCCAUCAUCGGCCAACGCAGCCCGAACAUUUCCCCUCUAAAGAAAGCUUUUUUAGCUGUUGGGUCCAAGGAACUUGGGCCUUUGGCCACUUUUAGUGCUGCUCGUUGCAUCAAGAUACAAUCUUUUCGUCUUCUCUUCUCGUUGCGUAAACGAGGGCGGAUGCUUUGUUACAGAGUGCGUUUGGUUCAGCAUUUUGAAAGCUCGGGGAAAUACAAAAUAGUUUAGUCUAAGGGGCUUUGGACAAAUACAAAGACUAUUUGGUAAAUUACACUUUGAAAAGCAACUUUGAAACAAAUGCUGUUUGGUAAAAAAACUCAUUUAGAAAGCCCAUUUGAGUGAUUAAUAUUAGUUUUUUAGUUUUUAUAUGUUUAAAAUUGACAAAAAUAAUGCAUGCAACUUCUUUUAAUUUGAAUUUUGACGACAAUGCUAAAAAAUAUCAAAUGGAAAAAAUUCACAUCAAAGUGGUCUCUUUCUUAAUUUUUUUUUAAAAAAAAACCUUUAUUAUAAUAAACGGAAUAACAUCUGUCCCGAGGAAAUAAAUUUAUUAUCCUUUAAAAUUACAAACAUCCUUAAAUAUUUCCUAAACUUAGAGCCAUUUGAUCAAGCUAGAAUACUAUGUACAACAAACCUUGAUACAACAGAGUUUCUCAAAUAUCUAUUCUUUGUUUACAUGCAAAGUGUACAUAAAAGUUCAAAUGCUCCUGUCAUAGAUAGAAUAGAUAGAAUUAAAGGUCAUUGUAGCACAUAAGCUGCCAUGUCUUUUGACCACAAAGAUGAUUUGUCUGGCCUGCUUGACUCCCCAGAUGAAGUGGAGGAUGAAUCCUUUGAGUGACCUUUCAGACCUUUAUCAGCAAUUAGAUCCAUGAAUUUUGAAAGUGACAAGGUGUCGAUAUUUCACUAUCAUUAACCUCAGCUAAGCUCAUUAGCAUCUUCACGACAGUCAACAUGGAUGUUUGAAGCCCUGGUAUACCCUGUGUUCAGAGAAGACCAAUCUUCAUGAAUAGGCAUGCCUCUUACCUAUGAUGUUCCCCAUCCAGAGAUGUAUCACUAAGGUCACCAUCGCCGAUGCAGUCCUUGAACGGACUAAGAAAUUCAUCAGGAUUAAAUCCACACCCCUCAAGGUCGCAGAGCAUCAGCUCCUCUCCCGAGCUUCCACCCCCCAUGGCCGAGUUCUCCGGUAUAGUCGAGAAACUGUCGUGGUGGCCGUCACCGACGCAAUCCCUGGACACCCUAAGGAAGUUGUCCGGAUUACAUCCACGCCCCUCAAGAUGGGAGCAGGCGGGGGUGGAGUCCACUCCCAAUCCUCCACCGCCGGCGGCCGACUUCUCCGGCGAAGUAGAGAAAGGGUCGCCGUCGCCGUCGCCGUCGCCAUCGCCCAAAUUUUCAGAAUCACAACCAAACCCGUCUCCAGAAUCGCCACCAGAACCGAUCACGACGGACGAACCCUUCUCCAGAUCUUCCAACUUCUCGCCCACAAGAUCACGAACGGCGUCGUACUUCGCGAUCAGGGACUCCACGUCCUCCUCCGUCGCGCAAGAAUCCCACUCCUUCUCAAUCCACUCCGCCCACUCGGUCAAACCCAUCGGCGGCACCACGCCAACGUGGUCGGCAAUUACGUCAUCUUCCACGGAGGGGUCGCUGAAGAAAGAACAGGGCUUGCCGGCGGGGGAGAAGACGAUGACGGCGGCGCGAGCGCCGCAGAGGCGGCAGAGCUCGGAGGCCUUCUUGAAGAGGCCCUUGCGCCUCUUCGAGUAAGUCACGAGCCGCGCGGCCGGGUCGGCGAUCUUGGCGAUCUCCGUUCGCCGGCGCUUACCCAUUUUCGAUGGAUUUCGCGAAAUUUCUUCGACGAUUUGCAGGAUUCUUGGGUUUCCAGGAGAGAGCUUUCGUGGGUUUUUCUGGGUUUCUUGUAGAGAGAGAGAGAGAGAGAGAGAGAUGAAGUUUGAAGUUGCAGAGGAGGCGGGCGGGGGAAAGGAGCCGAACGGGAAGAUCUACUUAUAUCGCCAUCGUGGGGGCCCCUUCGAGAACUUUCUGAAUUCUGAUUUUCGGUCCUCUAAGUUUCUGUAGAUUUUCAAAUUGGCCCCGCCAACAGUUUAUAUUUGUGUCGAUUGAGUACUCUUAAUUUUCAUAAUUUGCGUAAUUGGUGAUUUGUCCAGUGGAUUGCUUUCACCGUUAACACGAUGUGAUAAUUAAUUGAAUUAGAUAAGGGAAGAUGUUGCUUUAGAUUAUAAAUUUUAAUUUUUAAAUUAGAUAAGUAAAAACGUCACUUUAAAUUAUGAAAUUUAAUUUAACAUGAGAUAAGGAAAAAAUGGAAAAAAAAUACAUUGAGAGGUUAAAUGAGAGAAGCUCGUCGUCACGGAGUUUUCAUUGAGGGUUUUUAAAAACAUGUUUGUCCGUUUGAUGACAUUUAUUCUAUGAUUUUUUUUUCUUUUACUCUCUUCUAAUACUUGAAAAUAGAAAACACUUUGGAUAAAAUAUAUGAAGAAGAUAUAUUGUAAGUAAUUUCUUAAGUUGCAACUUUUGAUUAAAGGAAUACUUUUUUUUGAAGAUAAGGACACUUUAAUUGAAAAUAUAAUACCUGAUUAAAAUAUUUGCUCAAAUGUAUAAACUAUAACAAUGCGUAAUACUAUAUUUUUCGUCCUGUCAUGGAUCACUGUGCUAUUUUAGACAUCAUCAUGCAGUAAACAAAAUAGACAAAGCCACCUAAAUCUCUAAAUAUCAUGUAAAAUUAAAUUCAUAAUAAAAACUUAAAAAGAAAUAACAGCCUCACCUGAUUGGAAUAAAAAAAGAAGUGCAUUAUACACUCCCAUUACAAUCCAACAAAAAAAAAAUUGACACCGAAUAGUUAUGUGUAUAGUUUAAGUGCUAUAUUUUCCUCUAAUUAGUUAUAAAUUAUGAAUAUCGCUCACAUGCAAAGUAAAUAGACUAUUAUUAAUAUAGGUGAUGUCUAAGUUGUAACCCAUCAAUUAGCUUACAUAAUUCACUAGCAUUUAACUUUUUCUACAUAAUACAAAAGCAUAGGGACGGUAGUAAGACUAAUUAAAAAAUCUAAAUUCAAUUCUAUGUUUUAGACCUAGUAGGAUUUUGGCACAAAUAUGAAUAGUAUAAAUUUUAGAUAUAUCCAUGAACUCGAUAAAUCUCAGCUGCUAGAUUUUCAAACCUCACAUGGAAUCCAUGUGAUCAAGGGGAUUGCAAACUCCACCCGACACCCUCUCUUGCAAUCAAGCUUUCAAUUUUCACAAAGAAUGGCAAUAGACGUUUACACACGUGUAUUGUGUGUGUUAAAGUUCUAAUAUAUAUAUUGCAUAUUUUAUUGUAUUUUUACUCUUACACUUAUUCUUAAACUUUUGUUUUAUCUUAUUGCAGGGUGUGGGAGUCGAACUUCACAUCUAAAAUUAAAUCAUCCCCACCUCUAGUUGCCUCUAAGAAAGUAAGGGCUCGUCAUGACAACCAUUAUAUUCUAGAAAUAGUUUAUGGAACAGAAAUAGAUUUUUCUAUUUCUAUUUCUAGAAGAGUUUCUAAGUAAAAAUAACCGUUUGAUAACGACACAAAAUUUCUACUUUAAAAAUAGAAAUUCAUUUGAUAAUGACAUAAAAAAAUUUUCUUUUCGGAUGGCGGCAGCAGCGGCGGCCGGCGACCUACGAACAGUGGUCGGCGGCAAUGGAUGAAGGACCGAUUGACGAACGAUGAGAAAAAAAUUUAUUUCUCAUUUCUGUUCUAGAAAUAGAGAAGUAGAAAAUUUCUAUUUUUGAUUUUUAUUCCAAACCUAUUUCUGAAAUAUAAAUUUAUUUUAGAAAUAGAAAAACGGAAUAAAUUUAUCAAAUGGAUUUCUAUUCCAGAAACAAAUCUGGAAUAGAAAAAUUGUUUAUGGAAUAUUGUUUCUGGAAUAGAAAUUCUGAUUUGUCAUGCAUCUCUUAAGAAUUCCAAGCCCCUCUUCCAUGGUUCUAAGAUAAAUGUUUGACUGGGUGAGUUUUUGACAAAAUUUCGGUCCACCUAUGAAGACGAUGGGCUUGUGGGAGAAAAACAGACAGAAUUACCGGGCAGGUUCAAUUCGCGGGGAGUGCAAUAAACUUUACGAAUCACAGUGUGACAAACUUCACAGGGUUCGCAGCACGACCCAAUAUAAAAAUCUCAUCAAUUUUGAGAAUGCGAUUGACUUUCCAACCCGAACCGACAUCCACGUCAGGUCACGCGUGCACGUGGCGCGUUUGGCAAGGGUUAGCUUCGUUGCUGGGGCAAAACGCCCUUCAUUUUUUAUUCGAUGGUGUUGAUGAGAUGAGAAUAGAAUAUGAGGGAGGGGUGGGGCGCUUUUAUCAUCAUCCACGACGACCAAGACCUUUCGCCCCCACGCCACCCAUCGAGCACUAUUUCAUGGCAAUUACGACCAAGACCCGCAUCGUCGCCGUUUCAACGGGUGCUUGAAAAAAAAAAUCAAUACGCCGGCGACCCACUCGUAUCCUUUUCACAAUGACGAUCGUCAGGUGGUCUUUUGCUGGCCGACCACGCCCAGUAUGGGGCUGACCGGUGUGGCUAGGACUCGCGAGGCCUACCUAGCCCCAGCAAGGCCGGUCUGGCCACCGGCGAGGCUCAGCCAAUGCAGGUUGGCCUCGCAAGAGUUGGGCGCUGGGCGUCGCAAGGCUUCCUUAGCCCCGGCGAGGCCGAGUCUCGCCGGUGGCUGGGUUUGCUUCCGGCGAACUUGCUGGACCGGUUGCUGGCGACCGGCGAACGGCAACGGCGAAUGACAAUCGCAGGAUGGCAGUAGAUAAAGAAGAAGAAUAAGAUAAAAUAGAAGAAGACUUGAUUCUCAAAUUUGUUCCUGGAACGAGAAUUAAUUUCUUUUUUUAUUCUUGAUUUUACUCCAAAUUUGUUCUUUGUUCCCGAAAACAAAAAUUUUAUCAAACGCGAUUUUGUUUCCAAACUGCUCUCGGAAACAAAAAAUUAGAAUCAUUGUUGGGAUGGUUACCAAACAACACCUUACUAGAACAAAAAAUUAGAAUCAGUUGUUGGGUUGAUUACCAAACAGCACCUCACUCUCUUGGUCUUCUCUCGUAUUCUCAGCCACUUCGUGGGACAAGAUAUAGAAAUUGAAGGGCAAAUGAAAUAAAUAAAGGAAAAUCGGGCGAGAUGGCGUCAGAAUAAAAACGGGGUUCCAUCCGAAAAUCCAGCAAACUGGUUUCCACUCUCUCUCUCUCUUUCUCUCUCCCUUUCUCUCUCUCUCUCCUGCUGCUGCUGCUGCUGCUUUACUCGUUGGAUUGAUCAUGCAAGCGGCUCAAGCUCAUCCUCCGCCUUCUACAACGUCUGCUGAGAUUCCUUCUCAGGUCCUCUCUCUCUCUCUCUCUCUCUCUCUCUCUCUCUCUUUCGGUGGGCGUUGUGAGUUCUUGCUUUUUGUGUACGUGAGUCUCGCUGUUUGUGGGUUCGCUGGUGAGAUCGAGUUUCGUGCUUGAGAUGGGUCGGAUUCUGCAGGCGUCGGAAGAGAUGGGUCGUCGGCGUUUAGGCGUUUGGUUUCCGUUUUCCGGUUGUUGCUCUGGUUUUAGCUGGUUCCGUGCAAUCUGAGCUCUUUGAGCUCGAGAGGUCGUGCCCCCUCCUCCGUCUUCCGCUUCCGGUGCUCACGCCCCCCGCGAGAAUUUUGCUUGAGCUGUGGUUUGAGAUCUUGGUUAGGCUCGAGUGAGAGAAAUAUGGAGAGCUAUCGAAAAAGAAGGAAAGAAAAUAUAGAAACCCCGAUGCGGGAUGACACGAGUGCGAUUAAAUUUGAGUCGAACGCGACUUAGUGCAUUGCGACGUGUUUUCUGGAAUUCGAGCUACUUUAGUUUGGAACUGAUGAUUGACGCGGCGACGGUGACAGGAUAUGACUUGCGGCCCAUUCGGAGGCUUUGAGAAGUUUGCGGAUUGUGGGAAGAUUAGCAGGAACUAUGAUUAUUUUAGAAAUUAUACAACCGCCUCCAAAAGAUGAGAGCUUUACCUCGUGCAUUGUCAACUUUGACAAGCUGGAGUGAUGCUGCAAGAAUCAUUCUUAUUAAAUAAUUGUAGCACAGUGGCCCACGACUCUUUGCAUAUUUAGCUAAUUCAGGCUACCAAGUUUAAUGACCUAUAGAGAUUUCCAUUUGUGAGUCAGGCUUCCAAACAUUUUCCAUCUCCAGCUGUCAUUGCUUUUGCUGAUAUGCUGUUUGGUAUUUCUUGAAGAUCAUGUCGAGGGAAAUCGUGCAGAAAGACAACAUACCUGUAAAAAUUGAUGGAAUAGCAGGGAGCGCUUCUUUUACUCACACUGCGACAGAAGGUCAAGGAAUGGCUAAUUCAUCAGGAUAUGAAUAUGAAGUAUUCUUGAGCUUCAGAGGAGAAGAUACUCGAACAAUUUUACCGACUUCCUUUACACUAGUAUGAUAGAUGCGGGAAUCCGCGUCUAUAAGGAUGACGAAGAGCUCUGCAAGGGGGGAAAUUUUGGCCCGGAACUUCUCCGAGCAAUUAAUCAAUCGAAGAUCUCAAUACCUAUAUUUUCGAAAGGUUAUGCCUCUAGCAUAUGGUGUCUCAAGGAGCUAGUCCAGAUGGUCGAGUGCCGAAAAACUAGGGGACAAAAGAUUAUGCCCAUUUUUUAUGAUGUAGCACCUUCAGAGGUUCGACACCAAAUUGGACCUUAUGGAAAGGCCUUUCUUACACAUGAAAGCAAGAAGCGAUAUGAUGAAGAGACUAUGCGUAAGUGGAAAGCUGCUCUCACCACGGUUGGAGAACUAGAUGGAUGGGAAAAAAAGGCCAACGGGUAAUUGCCUCUAUCAUUCCAUUUGAUGUGCCUUGUCCCAUUAAAACUUGAUGUGUUUCAUUGUUGAAAUUGGAUUUUAUGCUAUUGAAACUUUACCACAGAAAUCACUCAAAAUAAUGGGACAAUCCCAUUUUUGUCCUUUUUCAUUCCGAACAACCUUUUUUUUUUCUUUUUUUUUCGGUUAAGGUCAUUCGCUAAUCAUAUAUGCCAAUGCUAAUUCAUUUACAAUGAAGUAAAUCCUUGCAGAAAGCAUUUCGAAUAGGUCUCUAGUUUUCACUUUGGUCUUGUUAGAACAUAGCUUGGUUCAACACAUUUUUCUAACUCAUUGCCAUUUGACCUCCAACAAACACUAGGAAAGAAGGUGAGAUGGCAAAAAAAGUUACCCAGAAGGUUUUCAAUGAAUUGAAAAAGGCUUAUUUGGUGGUAUCAAACAACUUGGUCGGUGUGGACAAUCAUGUGGAUAAAAUCAUGGAAGAGAUAGGUGCUCACAUAAAUGAAACGCGGAUCAUAGGAAUUCAUGGGAUGGGUGGCAUUGGAAAGACUACAAUUGCCAAAAUCAUAGACAAUGAGCUUUCCAACAAGUAUGACAGUUGUUGCUUCCUUUCCAACAUCCAUGAAACGUCAAAGCUCAAGGGCAUUGAGUACUUGCAGCAGCAGCUCAUCCAUGACAUCCUAAAGAUGAAAGGGACGGAUAUAAGAAACAUUGAUGAAGGGAUUAAGACCAUUAAAGAUAGGUUCCCUACUCACAGAGCCCUCAUUCUUCUUGACGAUGUGGAAGAAAAUGAUCAUAUGGAUGCACUUGUAGGCAAGCGUGAUUGGUUUGGUAAAGGAAGUAGACUUAUUAUUACUACAAGAAGGAAAGAUGUUCUCCAUGUUCCAGAAGUGGAUUGGAGGUAUGAGCUUACAGGCAUGGAUGCCCAUCAAUCUCUUCAACUUUUUAGCAAACAUGCCUUCAGAAGAGAUUCUCCUAUAGACGAGUAUAUCGACCAAUCCAAGAGGGCAAUACACAUUGCCGGAGGUCUUCCAUUAGCCCUUGAGGUCAUAGGUUCACUUUUAUCCGGCCAAAAUAAGAAAAUGUGGGAUGCCACGUUGAAGAAACUAGAAAGUGUUCCUCAUAAUAAAGUUAAGAGUAAGCUGAAAAUAAGUUAUGACGCAUUAGAUGAUAGUCAGCAGCGUAUAUUCCUUGAUAUAGCUUGUCAAUUCAUUGGAUAUUGCAAAGACAUUGUGUUUUAUUUUUGGGAUAUACCUAAUUUUUCUCCGAAAGUAGAUGUGGAAGUUUUGCAGAACAUGUCUUUAAUAAAGAUUGGAGAAGAUAAUAUAUUGUGGAUGCAUGAUCAACUCAGAGACCUUGGAAGAGAAAUAAUUCGUCAAGAAAGUGACAUGAAUAUAGAGAAGCAACGUUGGGUGUGGAAUCCCGAGGAUGGAUUAAAUCUACUAAGGAUACAUGAGGUAAAAUGCUUUGUGCUAUACAUCUCCAAAUUACUUGUAGACAUUUUCUUUUCCAAAAAAAAGUAGUUACUUUUUGUGUUCUCUAGCACGAUCGCGACCUACUCAACCGAUAUGUUUGGUCUUUUAAGAUUUUAAAGGAAUGAUAGUAGUCAACUCAACCCUUAAAAUAAUGAACUUGAAGAAAUGUGUUUCCUUUCAACUUUUUUGUUUUAAAAUUUUUCUUUUGGGCAGGAAAAGAAAGAAGUUAAAGCUCUUCAUCUCAAGUUUGAUGAUCAGCAUCGUUUUACCUAUAAGGACUUUAAGAGCCUGCCAAAUCUAACGUUCCUUGAAGUGGACGACUUGAAGGAAAAUUGUUGUGCCAAAAAGGAGCUUUUUUGUCUCGAAUGGCUAUCAAAUUGUCUUCCAAUUAAUAUUUUCCAGAGGAAUUCAAAUCUCCUUCCACAAUUACGAUGGCUUUCUUGGCAUAAUAUUCACCCAACAUUUAAGAUUGCAAAUUUCUCCGUAGAGAAUUUGAUUAUCCUUGAUCUAUCUCGGAGUGAAAUUACUCAUGGUUGGAAGGGGUGGAGCCACAUGAAGGUAUGCUAUAUGCUAGACAACACUUAUUCUUCGUUCUUAUUAGAUUCAAAAGUAAACUUUGCAUGAUUUUUCUUUCACAGGUGAUUGAGAAUUUGAAAGUUCUGAAUUUGGCCCAUUGCCGACACUUGAAGAGAACCCCCAACUUCUCAGCUCAUUCAAAUUUAGAACAUUUAAUCCUAUCAAGCUGUGAAACAUUAAUGGAAAUUGAUAGAUCAAUAUGUCAGUUGGAAAGCUUGGUUUUCUUAGAUGUAAGCUAUUGUCAGAGUCUUCAGAGGCUGCCAGAUGAGCUGGGUAGAGAUCUUGCAACCCUUGAAUACCUAUCUCUAAGAGGAUGCUCGAGUUUGGAGAGGCUUCCGGAGACAAUCGGGAAUUUGGAAUCGCUGAUUGAGUUGAACAUAAGUUCCACGAGAAUCAAAGAACUACCUGAUUCCAUUGAAAAGUUGAAGAAUUUGAAAAUAGUGAAUAUGCAGGAUAGUGACAUAAAAAAAAUACACGAUGCCUUUUGGACGAUGGAGAAGCUUGAAAUAAUAAAACUAAGCAAGCUGCGUAGGAUGAGCAAGCACGAUAUGUAUCAUUAUGGACACGUGGAAUUUGGUGAUUGCAUCUAUGAGAAUAAAUCCUUGAGGAUCUUGAGAUUGUCAGGGGUGGAAAUACACGCCCUACCAAGGCUUCCUGAAAGUCUCAUCAAAUUAGAACUGGAGGAGUUGAGGGUGGACACGUUUCCGGAUCUCUCAAAUCUCACUAACUUAAAGGUAUUGCAUUUUGGCCUUGGCCCACCUAAUUGUGAUGGGAAAGCUUAUGGGCUUCUGGAAGAACCGAUACCGCGGUGGAUUGGGAACUUAAGCAAAUUGGAAUCUCUGAAACUCUUGUAUUUAUGGGGGAGCGCCUCAUCGAUGGACCUCAGCCUCCCUCCUCAUCCGCAUCGCCUCCCGAGGCUUCCCUCAAAUUUGUCCUCCUUACAUCUCCGUGGUUGCAACUCACUUUGCUCAAUGGAUCUAUCGAAUUUGAGGAAACUAUCGUCUCUCUUGAUUUGGUGCUCUGCAGUUGCAAAGAUUGAAGGCCUUGGUUGUUUGGAGAACCUUCGAGAUUUGGACCUUCACUGCGUCGGACAACUAACAAUGCUACCUGAUCUGAGCAAGUUAAACAAGCUAAGGAGUAUUCUAUUAUGGAGUUGCGGUAAUCUGGUGGAGAUUCAGGGCGAACUACCUCAAUCUUUGGAAUUGGAAUACUUGCAUAUUGAAUCCUGUGAAUAUUUACAGAAGUUGCCUGAUCUAUCAAGCUUGAAGGGACUGCGAGUGGUUGAAAUAAGAAGUUGUGGGAAAUUAGCGGUGGAGGAAAUUUCUCAGCUUUGCUCGGAGAAGUCAAUCCGAUUUGUGGGCGACGAAGCAGACAUAGUACUGGAUUGGGCAUGUAUACGAACAUAUAAAGGAGGACGAUGGGCAAGAUGAUGAAUAAGUGCACGUUGCACUUGGAAGCUUUUUGAUGCACGACCACAAAUUGUUCCCUUGUGUUCAAACCUUAAACGAAUUGAGGUAAGUACUUAAUGUUUUCCUUUUUUGGCAAUCAAAUUCUUUCACAGAUAUGAACAGAGAAGUUUUGCACGCACUUUUUAAUGACCUUUUAGCAGAUUCUUGUCUGAAAAUCUGAUGAAGGUAUUUAAAUUAUGAUGCCUCCGAAAAGCCAGAGGGCUCUUAAUUAUGCACAAGUAUUUGUGUUCUUUUCCUAGUUUGGUUUGGCUUUUUCAGCUACAUUUUCUUAGGAUGGCUUCUCCUAGAGGUAUGCAUGUCGAUUGCAUCAUUUUUAUUUGAUAUGUAACAAAUUAUUAGAGAUCGUUGUUGAUUUGCUGCUUCACACAUAUUUUGAAAUUGAUAACCUCACUUCGCAUGGGAGAUAAAUUCACUAUGCUGUAAACAAAUAGAUGGAAUGUGUGUUGGAAGGUCAUACAACUGUGGUUCUCAUCCUGGGACUUUACAGCACAAUCAACUCAUUGUUGUGACUUUGAAGUAGACAGACACUCUGUAUUGCCAUGCUUAAGUUUAGCUUAUUUUUCAGGAAAGGUGUGCUUCUUAGUGGGAUUUGCAAAUGUUAUGGAGAAGUCAUAAAUGAGGGAGCCACCGCAAUUCUGAGAUUACCAGUGUGGCAGCACUGGCUAAAGCAGCAGCACCAGAAUAUUUUAUCUCAGCAAUGAUGCCUUCAAUCAUAGCAAUCUUUGACGGGCACACUGACAAAAAUCAUUAUGUGCAGCAAUCAUCACCAACAGGAGUAACUGAGAGAAUGCAGCAUUUGCUGUACCAGUAGAGAAGGAGCGCCCUUUUGUUGAGACUUGAGAAUUGCACUCACUUACAAAAGAUUGGUAAGAAAAAGAGGGCACCUUCCCUUGGGGCUGCCUUCAGUAAUAGAACUGUGCAUUCUGAAGCAAUAUUGGCAUUGUUUCUGUCAUGAGAUCCACUCAAUUCCAGGAAAACACUGGCACUGCCACCAAAGUCGGUUAUGCGUCAUAUGCUACUCGCCACCUCAGAAGAACUUUCAUCAAGUAGUGGUGGCUCUUCCACGUACGCAGAACCUUUCAUAGAACCUAGUGAUCAUAAAAAAAGAGCUUUACACAAGCCAAGCGUCAAUUUGAGAAAUUCUUCCAUAUUCUUCGCAUGUACAAACUCCAAAAGGAUUCCAAUCCGCCAUACUACUUUCAGUUGAGAAAGCAACUUGGGAUCCAUUUCUGGAGCCGAUGCCAGAGCCACGCGCAGCUCAACAUCAUUCACAUUUGCACAGGACAGAUCACCAAGUGAAAAUCUAAAGCAGUGGCUGACUGUCUUUGGUUGUAGAUCUCAGAAAUUUUAGUCAAGUUGAACUCUAUGAGCAUCAGGAGGAGCUUCUGCACGCACAUUGGUAUCGGGGUCCUCAUCCUCAUUCAAGGUCGGUCAAAGAGGGAGAAAUUGCAUCUAGGAUAUGGAUUUCAAGCCUGGCAGCUUAUGCUCUAACUCUGGAGUUUUUAUUAGGAAAACGAACAUUGCAUCAAACGGAAUCUUGAGGGACAGAAAUCUGGCAUCACCAUCCUUGUUGCCCUUAUACAGAACAUCCAGACUCAGCAGAAUCCCACAGAUGAAUACGUCAGAGCUUUCAAGAAUCCAGUAUGACUCCUCUAUGAUGGACUCAACGCUUGCAUUUUGAGCCGGCAAUGCAGGUUCUAGGAACGGAUCAACGUUGUGCUCUAUUUUCCUUGUUCAAUCCUGAACUUCUCUUGGAUUGUGUUUGUAAUUAGUGUGAUGAAUUCUGCUUCGUGUGAGUGUGAACCAUCUAAGUUUUGCCUGUCCAGUGUUUGGUGAUCAUGUGCAAUUUGGUGUUUGAUGAAAUGAGCUAUGUGCUUGAGAUUGCGUGUGCUGGAUUGUCACCUUCAAAGCACUUGAAGCUGAAGCGCAAGGUCUAUUGCAAUGGCUUCCUCUCUUUCCUAUAUCCACCAGCAAGGUACCUUCGCUUUCACUACUAAUCUCUACUGCUGAUGUCCAGCUCAACCCGAUCAGCAAUUUAGUUGCCUUUGAUUGGGCUAGGACAUGAUUCAGUUUGAUUGGCUAAUCUAUGUCAAAAUGGCAGUGGCUAUUGAAUUAUUACCGUUUUCUCCCAAAUUUAGCUUGCUCAAUCGAACUGAACAGCAGCAGCUUGAUGCUGCGUAGGAUUUCAUUUUUUUCUAUCAUCAUGAAUUGUUCUGUUCUGUGCUUCUGGUUGUAAUACUUGCCGUGAUUGAGCUUGUUUUGAGUAGAUUAGUCCAUGCUGUGAUUGAUGGUCGGAUAAUGCUGUAUCAUGGUAGUGAGCAGCAGUUGGAAUGCAGGAUUUUGAAGAAUGAUGAAGUUAUUUGUUCCGGUGAGUCACUGAUUUCAAUGCUUAUUUGGUUGAUGUUGGAGAGCCUGAAGGAGGACAAAAGCCUCUAGAUGAUACUUAUAUUUACAGCAUGAUUAUUGUUUGGCAAUUGGAUUUAUAUCUGCCGAGGGUAUUCCUUGCUUGUCUUCUUCAUAGUUGUUUUGUUGGUUCAAAUCAUCAGUAGGUGCAAUGUGAUGAAUGUGAAGUUCUUGGGUUUGGUUUGUUAAAAGUCCAAAUGGGUAUAUUUUACUUAUUGUUUGUCUUCGAAAAAAGAGCGUUGCUUGCAUACAAAUACGCAUAGACCCUCCUUUGUGAUGCUUUUCCUGUUGUUCGUCUGGGAAAUUAAAUGUUUGUUCUUUUGCUUGCUUCAAACACCUACUUGGGUACGGUUCAUGUAUUGAUUGAUUCAGAAUCUAGAUGUAAACAUUUGCAAUUGAUCUACUGUUGCUUUUGUUCAAUGUGCAACUGAUCUUUUGAAACUCCAUUUUUUUUGUUAAAGUUUUUCCUUUUGUUAACCUUACUUUCAAUUGAUGCAGAGCUUUGGUUGAGUUUCUGGAUAUGAGGUUCACUAUAAUCCCCUCUCUGAAUUACGAGGUGUGUUUUCCUUUUAGCUACUUAAAUCCUUUGGCAUGGAAUCUACAGUUGUAUUGCCUACAUGACUUUUCAUUUUCUGCAGAUGCUCCUAAUUCCUCAGAAACCGAAAAAGAAACAUUGGUUAUUUUAGAAGAAACUGGUCGCUUAUGAUGUUGCAACCUGCCUGAAAUGGGAACCAAAUUGAUUCUACAUGUAUAGAUUCUACAUCCCAAAUAGCACAGCUUGCUUUACAAUGCCUCCAACUGACUCCUCACGAGCAGCCUUCGAGGACUUAGUGGAAGAACUGGAAUCAGUAGACACUGGCAUCGCUAAUAGAAUAGAACGGGAUAGUUAAAUUCACCUAUUAUGUCAUUCUUACUUCAUGUGAUGUAAGUCAAAGUCUGUUGUUCCACACUUUUCCAUUUUUCCCCGGAAUAAUCCUGGGCUUUGAAUGUUCAUUUCUAUUGUACCCAGCAGUUACUAGGAGUUGUCUUCUAUUGUAAGUUCUUUAUAAUAUCCAUGACAUGUAUAUUAAUACAUGCAGUGCUUUGUGAAUUGAGAUGUGAUUGUACUUAUGUUUAUGAGAGGAACGGUUCUUUAAGGCUAAUCCUCGAUCUUGUUGGCAAUCUGAGGUCCAUAGAAGAAGUCCAUUGCUCUUCAAGAGUCCGAGCUCUUUAAUUUUCUUGCAUGCUUAGGCUUUGAACAUGCGCAAGAGCUCAUUUGGUUGCCAUCACGAAUGUGUUUAUGUGGUGCUUGCUCUGCAAUCAAUCUCCAGGAAGAGCUAGGCGGUUCAGUCCAUUCUCAUAGUAUUUUUGAGCUAUGAGACAUGGUUGCGGAAAUUGAUGGAGUCAUUUAAGGCAAAGUGCUGCUCAGUUGUCCAUUCAGAAAGAGCAAGAUAUGACUUUUGGUGCUGUCAUGUUGCAGCUAAGACAUGUCUGAUUGUUUUGUGUUGAUAAGAGACAUUUCUUAUAAUAUGCUAGUUUUGGAUAAGACUUUCCAUAUGACAUUAUAAAUGACUAAAUUUUAUUUUUAUAUUCUCAGUAACUUAGCCCAUUGGUUAUUGUCGUCUCUUCACUGUUUGUAAAUCUGAGGGCCCUAUUAUUUUCGACACCUCUCAUGUAAUUUUUUUUUUUUUGAACUUGUUGAUAUGUCUCUUUUACAUCACUCUCAACGUAAAAAUAUAAAAGUUUCCAUCAUUUUUCUUUUUAAUUUUAUACAAAUUAAAACAAAUAAAUUGAUUACACUAAAGAACUUUCUAAAUAUAUGUUUAUCAAAUAGUAUUUUCCCAAUGUUACUUCUCAAGUCAUUUUAAAUUGCAAAUUACCAAACAAUCUUUGCAUUUCACAGAACUCCUUUAGGCUAAGGGCCUUUACAUUAGCCAAAAGCUUUCCCCAAAAGUCAAAGCAAACGCAUGAAAUUGAGCUUUAUGCAGACCUUUUGCUUGAUUGUUGUUGCCCUGCUAUGUGACCCGCUGUUUCGUGUAAAUCAGCGAUAUAGCCGUCGUCGUCAUGGCUCAAGUGCUCUUGGAGAUCCGGCCUCAUGAAGUCAAGUUUAUCUGUGAGUGUAUAUAGUGCUGUGCGUUUGGUUCAUUUUUAUUUUGGAGCUACAUUCAAUUUGCGUUGCUUGCCUCCUGUUUUUCUAGGCAAUUAGUGAAGGGGAUGAUAUUUCUUUGUUCUACAAUAAUUUGCUUGAGAAUUUGUGGUUCAACAUCGUAAAUAAUGGUAAAAGAAAUAUCUUAAAUAAGAGCUUCGAUGGCAAGUAUGAAUCGGUUAUUGGUCGCCCUGUUUUUCAAAUUCUUUUCCUUGUGUUGUUUUCAAAUUUUUGGUUAGGUUCUUUCUUUUUGCAUAGUUUCUAUCCUCGCACCACAAACUCUUAGAAUGCCUUGUGAGGUGAAUUUCUUUCCCGAGAUAAAGUAAGUGAGUGUUGUAACCAAAUGACUGAGAAUGAUCGGUAGAGAAAACCAACACGCAAAAUGAGAUUUCGUUGCUGCAUUAUGGCUUCAAAGAAAAUGUAUGAUGGUCCAUUUCAUCACAUCCUACUCUCAUGUCAUGCCCCGUUAAGUUCUUUUAUCUGAAGCCUCUUCUCCAUGUUUAUGCAGUUGAGUUGAGUAAACAAAGCUCAUGCUUGAUUCCGCUACCCAACAAGACUGAUUGGUAUGUUGCUUUCAAGGUGAGGAGUUUUUGCACCUUUUCAUUCAUCAUGAUCGUGCUUUACUUUUUUUAAGGUAUGGCGGGCGAACAAUUUUCUUUCAAUUCUGUAUUCUCUUGAUGUAGUUUAAAUUUCAGAGUAGGACAUCAAUGCAUUAAAAGCUCUCUACUAUGGAGAAACAUUAUGAGCUUUAUACUGGAUAUCCAAAACAUUCCAGGUUAAGUCUACAUCUUUGAAGAAAUACUGUGUGCGACCAAAUGUAGGCAUCAUCAAGCCAAAUGGAGCAUCUGAUUCAAAAUUGUGCUGCUCAAGUCCAAGGAACAUCUUGUUCACAUACUUAUUAAAGCCACUAACAUACUUGUGAGGAGGGACACGCCUACAGUACCUAAAUCAGCUAAAUAAUUCUUUUGCAAUUUCUUUGCCAUGACAUGUCAAUUGGACUUUAUUAUUGUUGGGUUACAAACUACUUAAGGUAGAGUCAGUCUAAUUGCAGCAAGGAUCAUCUUUGAAUAAGAUUUUGAAUGCCUAUCAUAGUAGCCUAAUAUACAUCGAGAAAAGGAAAACCACGAUAGGCCUCAGAAGCUAUGUCCCGAUACUCCAAAAGAAUUGGAGUUGGCCUUUCAUCCUAUCUUCUGUUUGAUGUAAUUACCAUGUAAGCACGACAGGUAGCUCCAACUAUCCUGUAGUGCAGAGAUAAUUUUUUGAUACAGGUGAAGAGGACUACUGACAUGGUAGGUUUUGCUGCUAUAUGCCCCAUAAUCUUCCAGGUCAAGUAACUUGAGAAAUUUUCUUUUAAAUUUUCAAAUUGAUAAAGAAAGUGGUAAAUACAUAGAUGAGAGGAAGAUAAAAGCAGUUCUAACCAGUCCAGUGGAAUCACUAUCAGUGCUGCCAGAUUGUUGAGAUCGGAAGCAAGAUUCAUCUUCCAAGACUACCAUCCCAAAGGAUAUCUCACCUGUUGGAGUCGAAAAUGCGUCACCUUUUCUCAAGGUAUUACUGCCAAAAAACAUCAAUAUGUCACUUUAUUGUCUUUCUGGAUUGAGAUGGCAUUUUAUCUAAUACAUGUAUCGGGGCUUUGCCACAGCCUUGGCUAGGCCGUAUGUUAUUUAUUUGUGAAUGGAAAUCAAGUUGCUGCACAUCAUCUAUAAAUUGAUUUACCUUUUUAGCAACUAAAUGCGAGUGUAUGGGAUAUCUUUUUUCUCGUAUUAACUGUACGUGAAUCCAUUUCUAUGUCUCAGGAAAGAUUGGAAAUCAUAGAAUAUGACUUCUGUUCUUACUCUUAUAUUCCAGAAGGAUUGUCUUUUGAUGCCAGGAUCCUGAAGGGUGGACGUGUCAGAGGUUUUAAGGAGUUAAAAUCAACACUCAACGAGGUGAUACAAAGUUGAAAGAGGUUAGUUUUCUUCCCUUGGUUGAUUUGAAUUCGGGUCUACUUUCACCAGUCAAAUCACUGGGAGGACGGUUUCCCUUCCACUACACAAGCCACCCUUGAUUGCCCAUUUUAUGCAGAUGAGGAUAGACAGAAGAGGGGAAGAAUUAUUAAAAGGAAGAAAAGAAAAUUUAUAAAAGGCAUAGGUGUUGAGUUGGGAGAAUUGCAAAUUCAGUCAUAAAUUUAUUUGUACGAAUAAUCAAAUAAUGGAAAACAUGUUUGCUCUCAUAUUCUUGGUUCACUGCUACUACUGACACAUUGGUUCUUACGAAUUUCUGGCGCUGCAUGUAUUGAAGAUUACGUUUUUGUUUACUGAGUAAAAUGGCACGAAAUUGUUAUUGCCAAGUCAGAGUCGACCCGACUAUCACUAGGGACUACUCGAGUUUGGUACUACUGCUGAUGCUACUGCUAUGUUAGUGUUGUGUCUUGGAGAGGUGGUUAGAGAUAAUUUAGGCUUGCUGACUUGGGGUCUUUCUUGUGAUUUCUCUCGGGUUGUCCGAGUCAUGGCAUAUCCCUUAGCUGAUAUUAUUGUCAUAUCUUUCGUUGUGAACUUGCACUGGAGUUUGAUUUUCUCAUUGUUGGGAUCCAUCAAAAGGAAGAUUCUGUCCUGUAAGAUACUUCCUUGAAGAUUAAGAUUUCACUGCCUUAAAUUAGUUUUUUUGUGUUACAAAACUCUUGAAAUAGUAUAUUUGUAUUAUAUUUACCUCCAAAUUAAUUUUCGUGUAACUAGCCUAACGUGACUCAUGAGAUUAUCUGUUCAGCCCCGUCCCCGAACCAUGGGAAGAAAAAUACAGGAAUUUUGGAGAAAAAGAUGGGGGUUUUUAGAGUGAAACAUGUUAGCCAAUCUACAUAAGUUACAGUAGACCAAAAAAUUAGAGACUCCGAGAAGUUAUCAAAUGUGCCGUCGUUGCGGUGCUAGUCAGAGAUUAUCUUCAGAUCGGGCUGCCCUCGGGGGGAGAAGAGGCCGAUGGGCGAUCUUAAGAUUCUGUUUUCAUUCUUGCAUACAGUGAAAUCACUGCUGAAGGAUGAAGGGUAACAAAACUCGAUCCUUGAUUUUGUGAUAAAAAGGUCAUCAUCGCCUAUUCUUUACAAUCUGGUCCUUUUCCUUUGUCUCAAUCAACCUUGUGUCGACCUCUUGAUAAAUAUAAAGCACAAGAGGUGUGCAAUUAUGUUACUGAAAAGCUAGAAUUCUGCUUUCCAGUGCUUGAACCACUUAAGUGACGAUGCCUUGCUUUUUGUCUUAAUGCAGUUAGCUGGUGUCUCCCCUGAUCCAGAAUGAGUUGGGUUCAUCCUCUAACCUCAGUGGUUGAUUAUGUAGUUACUUUUAGUUGUUGGAAGCCCCAUCAGCAACAUCAUUUGAUUUUAUAACCCUCUUUUUAUGGGUUUAUGAAUCUGCAACCUUAGUCAAUUGAGCUCUUAUUUGAUUGAGCUCAUGUGUGAAUGUCUGAUGCAAUUAGCUCAACAGAUGGUGCAUGAUCACAUCAUCCUAUUAUCCAAUAUCUAUCUUUUGCUCAACUAGAGGGUGUGACAGUUGUUGUCAUGCUUGGUGCAUAUUGUUCCUAGGUUUCAUCUUCCAGUGCAUUGUUAUUGAAGAACCUGUCUUGGCUUGUUUUAGUGUUCUACAGUUUUUGGCCGUUGACUGCAUAAUAAUAUCUGUAUUUCCCCCCACAGAAUAUGGUAUCUUCUUGGUGGCCUGCUAUUUGACUACCCUCUCUGUUUUAUAGUACAUUCUCAACGUAAAUGCAGAAGGGUGUGUUCCCAAUAUCCACUUUGUAAAAGAUCAAAGAAUUCCACUUAUGUACUUGUUGCUCUUUGCUUGAAAAAAUUCUACUUCAUUAUGCAGUAUGGUUCUGGUACCGAGACAUCAGGCCAAAGAUGUGCACUGUACUGCAUACAGCUAGAUGAAUAAUGGACGUAUUUUGCUCCAAGAGAUUUCAAUUUUCCACCCAAGUAGCUGUAGUUGCUGCAUGUUGCGAAAAGAUCCAUGCCCAAAGCGAACUCACUUGUUUUGACCAUGCCCGGUUUUUUGUCGUUCAUGCUUUCAAAGUGGUUGGCUAUUUGGGUGGAGUGCUGUUUCUUGUUUUUGCGGUAGUGACAUUCAUCGGAGUUUUCUAGAGGUUUUCAAUCUGCUGAAAGAGUGGGCUCUGAGCUCGUGAGGUGUGAUAUUGCUUGCGGACUUUGGUUAGAGCGACAAGAUCUAAAUAGGCUGGAAAUAAGGUGCUGAAGAUUCACCAUAGGCCUCUUCUUUAUCGCUUGUUUUCAUGUAUAUUCACAACUGCAAACGAGGUUGACUUGAGGCAUGUGAAAUAAGAGUAAAUGCUGAGAACUUUGUCUAGGCAUUGGUGCAAUUUUCUUAUUUGAAGCUUUAUUGGCCAUCGAAUCUCAUCAUCAUGAACAAGUUUGCAGUUUCAUUCCGAUUUUGAUUAGUUCCAACACAUGGUCCAAGACUCUUAUAAAUGCUAUGUAUCAGAAUUCUCCAAGUUGGAUCUAAAGUUACAUACAUAACAUGAUGUUUUUGUUCUGAGAUACUAAUAUUAAAAGACAGCUUGUUAUAAGUAUGUCGAUAUUUUCCCGUGACUAGUAUGGUUCUUUUUCAUUCUUUCACCCAUUUCACCGUAACACAUGGUGCUACAACAAUCAUACCCUCAAGAACAACGUAGGUUGGGUUGGGAAAACAGUUAUAUCUCGGUAAUUGGAAGAUUAAUGUGGGACUAGCCAAACAGGGGAUCAUGAUUUUCCCUAGAUAAGAUGGAUACUCCCGAGGUGGUCAUUUAGUUAAUUUCAUUGUGGAGACCAAAUGGAAGAGGGAUUGAGUAUGUAGGGGAUGAGUGGAAGAAGAAUUCACCAAUUCAAUUAAGAGUGACUUCAAGCUAUAUGGUGUUUCCUUGAUUAGUUUUUUAUUCAUAAAGUUAGUCUACACAAAAAGGCAAUUUGAUUUGACUUCAGGCUAUUAUUCUAGUUGCAAUUUGAUUCAGCAAAUAAAAUGCAUACAUUGCAGUCAAUCCUACAAAAUUUAUUUUGACAUAUCCUCCAGAAUCAAUGCCUCUUUGCCAAUUUGCAUUGCCAUUCUCCUAAAAAUAAUGACAGGUCUGCUAGGGUAGGAGCUCAUCACUUCUCACAAAUUCUUCGUUAGGCUAGUUAGGCUAGUAAUACUUGCUGAAUAAUGUGUAAAAAUCACAAUGAUUAAAAAUGAAAAUUACUAGAUUUCAUUUUGGAGUAGUGAUUGAGAAAUCAAACUCAAACUCUCGGCCUCUAUUCCAACCUUCUCAAUUAAAGAAUGGCUAGUAAGAAUGUUGGGACUUGAUUUUGUUGUUUUACUUCUCUUUUGGGCAAAUUUAAAGAAUCUCUUAACGAUUAUGCAUUUAAAAGUGGUGUUACGAGUAAGGUGUCGCAUUCGCUUUAAAUUAGUUUUUUGUGUUACAAAACUCGCAAAACAAUAUAUUUGUGUAACAUUUAUCCUCAAAUUAAUUUUCGUUUAACUAGCCUAACGGGAUUCGUGAGAUUAUCUCUUCGGCUGUCCCCCAACCAUGGGAAGAAAAGGACUAGAUUUUGGAGAAAGAGACGAGGUUUUCAGAGCGAAACACACUUGCCAACCUACUUCAGACCCAAAAAAGAAAAAGCACACUUGCCAAUCUACGUUUGUUUUUUUUUGUUUUUUUUUUUUUUUGAGCAAGAGUCUAUCUACGUUAGUUAAAAGAGGACCAAAAUAUUAGGAAAUUCCGAAAAAAAUUCAGAUGCGCCGGCGCCGUGGAGGUAGUCGGAGAUUAUCUCUUCGGAUUGGGCGCGUCGACGGGCGACAAGACGCCGACGGGACGGCGGUGUGAGGUGGCGGAGCUCGGCGGCCUUCUUGAAGAGACCCUUUGCGCCUCUUCGGGUAGGCCACGAUUCCCUCGGCCGAAGAGAUAAUCUCUGACUACUUCCGCGGCGGCGGCGACGGCGACGUGGUGCCGCCGAUGGGUGUGACUGGAUUGAGGUUGAGUGGGAUUCUUGCGCGACGGAGGAGGACGUGGAGUCCCGGAUCGGCGAAGGAUGACGCCGUUCGUGAUUUUGUACGCAAAGAAAUUGGAAAGAUUUGGGAAGAAUUCGUCUGCGAUGAUCGGUGCUGGCGAAGAUUCCGGAGCUGGGUUUGGUUGUAAUUCUGAAAUUUCGGCCGAUCAAGAGAUGGGUUCCGUUUUCGAGAGCUUCAAGGCUCGUUGCCAGGCUCUCUUCGCGGACUUGCGUUGGAGAUGGCGACGGCUUCUUGACUUCGCCGGAUAACUCGGCCAUCGACGGUGGAGGCUUGGGAGAGGAGUCGACGCUCUGCGAUGAGGGCUAUGGAUAUAAUCCCGACCCACUUUCUUACACUUGAAGAUUUGGAUGUUCUUCUGUGAUGUAAAUGUGAAAUGCAUGUGAUUGUUCUUAUUAAACUGCACCGUGCAGAAUACAUGGGGGUGGUCGUGUUCAAAUUCGUCACUUUUCGGAUGAGAAAAGCAUCAUUUAGUCAGUUGUUUCGUGGGUGAAUUGGGGAUAGAGGGGAUUCAUGAUUUCAGUGGUAUGUCUCUUUUGCUAGACUGUGAAAGAGACUAGCUUUGAUUUAGACUGUCUCAGUAUGGGGAUGAAUUGACUGUCGGGGGUGAUGAAUGGUGGUGCCAGUGAAUGUGAAGCUUUCCACUGUCUGUGGAGUACUAUUGCUCUUUAGAUCGGAUAGUUUAUGCAACUAAUUAUCUGUCCAUUGAUGACUUCUGCGGGGGGAAACUCAGAAAAUAGUUAUAGAGAUGUGGUUUUUAAACUGAACUUACAACUGUGAUGCACGUCUUGAGGUAACAUCGGGCAGUUUGUUCUGCGUCUGCUUCAUAUCUUUCGGGUCGUAGGAAAAGGUAAAAUUUCUGAAGGAACACAAUUAAAAGCAGUGAUUUGGAAGUCCUGUUAUAUGCAGUUCCUUUCUUAUCCUUCUCAAUGGACUUUGGUAUGGACAAAAAUUUGGGAGAAUAUUGUUUGCUUGCCUUACCUUUAUCAUAAUUAUCUAUACUCCUGUAAGCAUCUUAAUGAUGAAGAUCGUCAUAUACUUUACCAUGCCAUUGGUUGCUCAUUACACUAUUAAGGGGUCUGUCUUUCAAGGGAUCAACCCAGUUCCAUCAUCAAAGGCAUUGUAUUGGAAGGCAGAUUGUGGUGGUUGUAUCUUGCAGAUGAUAAAGUGACUGUAUUGGAGUCAGAGAAGCGGACUUGGGAGAAUCUGCUAGAAGCUCAGGCUAUCGGAUAAGCUGUAAAUCCUUGGAGAAAUCAUGAUGCAGAAGCAAAAAAUAAUUCAUAGUGCCACCAUUGUUGAGUUUGUACCUGGUAUGAUUUCUUCUCGAAUGCUCUCAUUCAACAAGGAGAGAACUUUUUGUAAACCAUGCUCUUUGAUGGAGAAGUUUGAUAGCAUUCAGAACAAAUAGGUCUAGGUGGUGGAGCUAUUUUGCUUAACUCCUUUUAGUUAAUGUGUAAUCCAUGUAUUUUAUGAGACAUUUUGGCAAUAGGUCCUAAUGCCUCUGGCUAUAAGACUUGUGCAUUAUAAUUGAUGGGAUGAUCACACAUUAGUUUAUUGGAUUAUGUUUUAUUCUUUUCGCCCUUAUAAGUUGGCAAAGAGUAUCUAAAAUUGGAUGACCAUACGUACUGAUGCUGGAAGCUGUGAGUGAACUUUUAAACAACUGAGGUCAUGUUUUGGAUGCUUGAAUAUUGUCUGCAGUACGCCAGACACAUAUCUGCACAUUGCUUCUCUGUCCUGGAAUGAAUUUGGAAUACCCUGAAAUGUUUUGAGGCGAUUUUGUAUUUGGCUGCUUGGCAAUUAAUCUCCUGUUCAGUGAGUGAGAUUUUCCUGUAUGUGAGUUUUGGAAAUUCUACGUUUUCUUGGCAUUGUUCUGUAUGUGCUUCCCUGAUCAUCGCCCAAUGGUCUGUUUAGAGUUGGCUGCUUUGUUGUCCCAUAUGGCAACAUGGAUUGUGUUUUUUGUUUUUUUUUUUUUUGGGCUUCCAGAGCUCAGUAUCUUUCAUGUGCUUUAUAAAUAUGAACGACUGGAGUUCAGACUCUGUCAUGUGCAUGUCUCUACGCAGUUUUAUUUAUUUUGAGCGGUGUUGGAUUGGGAAUAUUCGUGCAGGAAAAAAUUUGAUGUCUGAAUGGCAAAUUUACUAUUAUUUCCUACUGGGGCCGAAUUUUUCUCAAGAAUAUCAAAGCAGCGGUUCUAUGCAAUCAGGCUAGUAAAUGUAAUUACUCGGGAAUGAAUAGUGAAGAGCUGGUUACUUUGUUUAGUUUCUUGUUCCUGUUUUUCUUUUUAACUCACGCAAUUGUUUGGGUCGAGAAUGUGAUGCCUUUAGGUGAUUCAGAAUUAACAGUUAAAGAACCAGGACUCACAGAAAAUUUCCUUUCGCUGCAUUGGUCAAUGACCAAUCUUAAUUGGGCUGAUAUGUAGACGUUAUUUGAUGUGCAAAAGCUGAUGAAUGGUGUAAUUUGAUUAUAUCCUAUCACCUCACAAUUGGGUGAGAGAAAAGUCGCGACGAAAAAGGAUUGUGAUUAGAUAAUUUGAUUACAUCCUAUCACUAUUCUUUCACAUUCACAUCGAUUUAAAUUUGUCUCUUUUCUACUAAUUAUGUGAAGCAACGAGUGUGUUGCAAGAAGAGAGUUUAUGAUUAGAUGCUACUGAUCAUUCGGAUAGCCGGCUUCUGGGGCAAGGAUGACAAAGUUUGCUUAAGAGGGGAGAAAUAGGAAGGUCGCUAUAAUUAUUUAAUGUGAGGUUAUACUAUUCUGUGGACAGAGUAAGAUCAAGAUCAAUCAGAGUGACAUUAUGGACUUGCCUUUGCAAUCAAUUUAGUAAGCUCUUCCUUACUUAUUCUGUUGAGUCGUCGUUUUUAUUUGAUUGAAUUUUUAAAAUAUCUUUACUGGACAAGCUUAAUCUCAACACAAGUCAAUGUUUUAUUAUUAUUAUUAUUCUCAACGCUUAAUUUAAUAAUCAAAUAGGCCCUAAGUAUUCUUCAGUUUCAAUCUAUCAUAAUAUUUGGGUGCCCAUCCAGUCAACAACGUAGGACCAUGAUGUCAAGACCGAGCGUCAAACUCCAGUGAAAAAAAAAAAAGCUAGAUUUGACCGUAACAAGAUGAACUGGGAUAAGAUAAGAUAAUAUACAAUAGAAUAAAAAAAAAACCCUCAAUUCUAUGUAUUAACAUAUUUGAUUCCCUCAAGUGUUUGGUGCGUCAAUGUCGUGAUUAAAAAAUAAAAAUAAAUAAUCAACGAAACAAUCGAAGAAGGGACAAAAAGAGGAAAACUACCUGAAAACUGAAGCGACCACGACAUGGCCACCGUGGUGGGUGCCAGCCGCCAUGAUGCCCAUCUGUGACAAAAGUAGUCCAUGACAACUUAAUCGCAUAUAGCCCCAAUAGUUUGUGACAAAAGUAGGCUGUAUCGCUUCUGUCGAUCUUGUACAGUUAGCAUCUUCUAAUCCAUGACAACUUAGUCCGAUGUUUUUCGUUCAAUGAAUAGCUGCGACAUACGUUUUACUUGGGAUAUUUUGGGAUACUUGGUGAGUACACUCAUAGCUGAAAUGCCAUUAUCAUACAUGUUGCCUAUCGAGCAUUUUGGGCUAGGCAGAAACAGUUGGAAAACCUCCGGGAUCGGCGUCUAAUAUAGUGUCAGGAUUGUUUAAGUAUGACUAAGCCAUCUCGUGGUUCAUAAUAGCGAUUCAGAAUCGGAAAACUGAGUGGUAAUCCCAUCUUUUUAGCCAUUGAACAACUUGAGUCCUGUGAUACCUCCCGAUCCCUGAAUCUUUAGGGAGACAAAGGGAAGGGUAUGAGGAACCAAAGAGGUACAAGUUAACAAAAGAAACUUUAUUUGCAUGACAUUUCGACAAAACACAAAUUAGCUUGAUUAGUGGCUAAGUAACAUCGACACACAACAGUCUCAGUAUACCUUCACGACGGUGUUUCAUUGAAAAAGCGAACGGGAUUAUCCUUCACCAUCGUGCUCUGACGAAGUAACAUGUUAAAGAGAAGACCUCUCUCAGUGUCCGAGGGACGUGUACACGUGGGGCGUUUAACAAGAAUUAGCUUCGACCAAGCCCUGAGCUGCUGCGCUCAUCACAUUGAGGAGCCCUCUCGCCAGCCAUGAUAUAAUCGGUAGGUCUCUCGCGCCCUCAGAAUCAUGCCCGCAUGACAUAAUCAUUUUUCGGUUGAUCAACGUGGUCCAGAUACGAUGACAACCGGCCAUCGGAUAUCAGGAUAGCAUCUGAUCGCAAAUGAUUUUUUUUCUAUGGAACUUUGUUAUUACUGAUCAAAGAGAAAAAAAAGCACAAGAUAGCUAUACUGGGUUUUCUCUGCAGUAAGCCAAAAAGAAUUUGAAGUAAAUUUGGAGGGGAAACUACAUCAAGAACGAUGCCAAGAGAACAUAUAAAUUCCAGAAUCUGCAUAGAGGAAAAUCUCACUUGCCAAGCGGGAAAUUAAUUGCCGAGCAACCAAAGACAGAAAUUGCAUCAGCACAUUUCAGGAUGUUCCAAAUUCAUUCCAGGACAGAGAUGGCCAAUGCGCAGAUGUGGUCUGGCGUAAUUUUAAAUUUUAUUUUUCCUGCAGACAAAGUUCAAGCAUCAAGAAUACGAUCUGUGUGUUUAGAAGUUCACAUCUGCAUCUCACACUCAUCCAGCUUACAGUAUCAUGUAUAGUUGUCCGAGUUUAAAUGCUCUUUGCCGACAUAUAAAGGCAAAAAAGAUCAAAUAUAAUCAAAUAAAACUAAUGUUUGAUCAUCCUGCAAUCACCCCUCGGUCAUUCAAAAAGAAAGCCACAAAUUGGGCGAACGUAAUGAUCAAAAUAAGCUUGUGCACCAGAAAGGCUGACCACCAAUAGUACCACAAUGUCUAAUAGCUAGAAUUCUUAAGACCCGUUGCCAAAAUGUUGCAUGAGAAACAUCAUUUGCACACUAAAAGCAGUUAACCAAGAUUACUCAACCACGUAGACGUAUUUUUUCUAUAUGUUAUCAGACUUUUUCAUCAAGAACAUCGUUGAAAGAAAGGUCUAGUGAUGUGCAAUGAGAGCAGUCGAGAAAAAAAUCAUACCAGGAAUAACUCAACAAUGGCAGCACUAUGAGUUCUUUUUGCUUUCUGCAUCACGAUUCCUCCAAGGAUUCAGAGCUUCUCUGACAGCCUGAGCUUCCGGCGAAUUCUCCCAAGCCCGCUUCUCAGACUCCAAUUCAGUCACUUUAUCAUCUGCAACAUACAACCACCACAAUAGUUCUUGGUUAAUACAGAAAGACAGACGCUUUGGUAGUAAAAUAAGCAACCAAUGGCAUGGGAAAGAAUCUGAUAAUCUUCUUCAUGAAGAUGCUCACAAGAGUAUAGGUAGUUAUGAAGGCAAGGCAACCAAACAACAUUCUCACAAUCUUUAGUCUAUACCAAAGUCCAUUCAGAAAAAUGCAAGUGAUGAAAGCUCAUCAGUCUUCAAUAAGAUCACAAAGGAACUGCAAUUUCAACGGGACUACAAAUCACUUCAUCUAAUUGUGUUCCUUCAGAAAUUUUAACUCUUUGAUUAUACCCUGAAAGAUAUGUUAUAGCUGCAGAACAAUCCGCUCAAUGUUUUCCUGAGAUGUGCAUCACAGUCGUAAGUUCAAUUUUAAAACCAGUCUCCUAAAACUUUUCAGAAGUUUCUCCCACAGAUGGUAUCAAUGAACAGAUGAUUAGCUGCACAAGCCAUCCAUUCUCCACAGACGGUGUAACACUUCGCAUUCAUAGGUAUCGCCAUUCAUCACCUGAGACAACAUUUUUUCGCAUCAUGCUUUUCGUGCAGAACAACGAGAAUGUUCAGUUCAUCGGCAUAACACGACGGUCCAAAUCUAAGCCCUCCUCUUUCACAAGCAAGCGACUGCAACAUACCAAGCGACUACGACAUACCACUGAAAUCAUGAAUUUCCGUCCUACCCCCAACUUCAGUCACAAAGGAACUGACUAAACGAUGCUUUUCUCAUCCGAAGAGACGAAUUUGAACACGACCCAUCACCGUAAAAUCCAC